GUUUCAUUGCUCAAAACCGUCUCGAGUGAUAUGAAAGUCGGCUCAAGCAUGGCUCCAUCUACAUACUCCAACAGCAAGGCUAUGUUCUGUGUAGCUGAUCAGAAGCGUGUUAUUUGCUUUACACACGACUUUGUCCUUUCAGGGCCUUAAGAAAAUAGUCUCCCCAAUUUUGUCAGACCGAUUCAGAAUGCACUCCUUUACAGAUUUUGAAGCCAAUUGUGAUCUCAGAGGUGAUUUUCAUGAUGUUGUUGGCCACCUUAGGUUGGUUGAUGGUCAUCCUCUCCAUCCACGUCCAGUAUUAUGCAUUACGUAAGGCGCAACUUUCUGGAAAGUAUUGGCCCAUUUGCAGCUUAAAGAAAUUCUUCAGAUCAGUGAAGGUGGUUUUGGUAGUGUUUAUAAAGCCAUCAUUAACGAUCCAACUGCAACUAGCGGAGAUUCUCAUUCUGUUCCACUUGAUGUCGCUGUUAAGAGAUUCAAACGAUAAAGUCAAUAGGUAUGUAUAUCAUUGGUUAUGCCUUGGUUAUGAAAACAAUAGUAUUCGAACUUUGUCCAAUAAAAAGGUUUAUGUUUGAUAUUAUUGAUCAUCAGUUUCUAAUAAAAGGGCACAAGCAAUGGCUUGAUUUAGUUAUUGGGCGUAGUUAAUGACUUAAACUUAGUGCGGCUCUUAUGAUAUUGCUCAGAGGACACAAAGAGUUUUUUGCUAUGGAAACAAAGGCUUGA